UACGAAGGGGGCUAGCGUUGUUCGGAAUUACUGGGCGUAAAGCGCACGUAGGCGGACUUGUCAGUCAGGGGUGAAAUCCCGAGGCUUAACCUCGGAACUGCCUUUGAUACUGCAAGUCUUGAGGAUGAGAGAGGUAAGUGGAACUGCGAGUGUAGAGGUGAAAUUCGUAGAUAUUGGGAAGAACACCGGUGGCGAAGGCGGCUCACUGGCUCGUAUCUGACGCUCAGGCGCGACAGCGUGGGGAUCAAACAGG
rnacentral:rRNA from 1 species